GACGAACGCUGGCGGCGUGCUUAACACAUGCAAGUCGAGCGGUAAGGCCCUUUCGGGGGUACACGAGCGGCGAACGGGUGAGUAACACGUGGGUGACCUGCCCUUAGCUCUGGGAUAAGCCUGGGAAACUGGGUCUAAUACCGGAUAUGACUCCAUGACGCAUGUUGUGGGGUGGAAAGCCUUGUGCGGCUAGGGAUGGGCCCGCGGCCUAUCAGCCUGUUGGUGGGGUGAUGGCCACCAAGGCGACGACGGGUAGCCGGCCUGAGAGGGCGACCGGCCACACUGGGACUGAGACACGGCCCAGACUCCUACGGGAGGCAGCAGUGGGGAAUCUUGCGCAAUGGGCGAAAGCCUGACGCAGCGACGCCGCGUGGGGAUGACGGCC
rnacentral:rRNA from 1 species